rnacentral:rRNA from 1 species
CCUACGGGGGGCAGCAGUGGGGGAUAUUGCACAAUGGGGGGAACCCUGAUGCAGCGACGCCGCGUGUGGGAAGACGGUCCUCUGGAUUGUAAACCACUGUCCCCAGGGACGAAAAUGACGGUACCUGGGGAGGAAGCUCCGGCUAACUACGUGCCAGCAGCCGCGGGAAGACGUGGGGAGCGAGCGUUGUCCGGAAUUACUGGGUGUAAAGGGAGCGUAGGCGGGGAUGCAAGUUGGGUGUCAAAACUACCGGCUCAACUGGUCGUCGCACUCAAAACUGCAGCUCUUGAGUGAAGUAGAGGCAGGCGGAAUUCCUAGUGUAGCGGUGAAAUGCGUAGAUAUUAGGAGGAACACCAGUGGCGAAGGCGGCCUGCUGGGCUUUUACUGACGCUGAGGCUCGAAAGUGUGGGGAGCAAACAGGAUUAGAUACCCUUGUAGUC